UGGCCCAGUGGUAGCAGGUAGCCUAGUGGUUAGAGUGUUGGCCCAGUGAUGGCAGGUAGCCUAGUGGUUAGAGUGUUGGCCCAGUGGUGGCAGGUAGCCUAGUGGUUAGAGUGUUGGCCCAGUGGUGGCAGGUAGCCUAGUGGUUAGAGCGUUGGCCCAGUGGUAGCAGGUAGCCUAGUGGUUAGAGUGUUGGCCCAGUGGUGGCAGGUAGCCUAGUGGUUAGAGUGUUGGCCCAGUGGUGGCAGGUAGCCUAGUGGUUAGAGCGUUGGCCCUGUGGUAGCAGGUAGCCUAGUGGUUAGAGCGUUGGCCCAGUGGUGGCAGGUAGCCUAGUGGUUAGAACGCUGGGCCAGUAACCCGAACUGACAAUGUAAAAUCUGUCGUUGGCAGUUAACCCACUGUUCCCCAGGCAACGAAGACGUGGACGUUGAUUAAGGCAGCCCCCCCACACCUCUCUGAUUCAGAGGGUUAAAUGAGGAAGA